GGAAGUAAAAGUCGUAACAAGGUCUCCGUUGGUGAACCAGCGGAGGGAUCAUUACAGAGUUAUACAACUCCCAUACCAUCUGUUAACCUACCCAGUUAUGCCUCGGCGUAAGCUCGGUUGGAGGCACCUGCAGCUACCCUGUAGUUGCGGACUGCCAACUCCAGCCGCGGCCCGCCGGCGGUACACUAAACUCUGUUUUAUUUUAUAUUCUGAGCGUCUUAUUUUAAUAAGUUAAAACUUUCAACAACGGAUCUCUUGGUUCUGGCAUCGAUGAAGAACGCAGCGAAAUGCGAUAAGUAAUGUGAAUUGCAGAAUUCAGUGAAUCAUCGAAUCUUUGAACGCACAUUGCGCCCAUCAGUAUUCUGGUGGGCAUGCCUGUUCGAGCGUCAUUUCAACCCUUAAGCCUAGCUUAGUGUUGGGAAUCUGCUGUACUGCAGUUCCUUAAAGACAGUGGCGGAGCGGCGGUAGUCCUCUGAGCGUAGUAAUUUAUUUCUCGCUUUUGUCAGGCUCUGUCCUCCCGCCAUAAAACCCCCAAUUUUUUAGUGGUUGACCUCGGAUCAGGUAGGAAUACCCGCUGAACUUAAGCAUAUCAAUA
rnacentral:rRNA from 1 species